rnacentral:lncRNA from 1 species
CGGGGCGUGGAGAAGGGCAGGAGUUGGGGCGUGGAGAUGGGUAUGUUAUUAAUGUGAGGUGUGUAGUUUCUGUUUUUCAUGUCUGACAGUCAUCCCUGAGGAUCAGGAGGAGGAGAGGCAGAUUAGGACUGAGAACCACUCACCAGAACAACAUGGGGUGGCAUUUGGCCUGCUGACUAAAACUAACAGGUACAAGUCCUGUCCUGGAGGGUAAACAAAACAUACUUAAUCCAGAUCCUCCUCUCAUAUCCCAACAUUUAUUUCAUAUUUAGCCCAAAACCACAGUCUACUUCAGAAAACUCCAACACCGGUAGAUUUUGGACACAGGAACAAACAAGCUGCCAUUUUUAUUCUAUGAAUAGUAUACAUAUACAUACACUACUUUUUGAAUGUCUUACAGAACACACUUUUUUAAAAAUAGGUUCUGAGUUUUUCAAACCAGCAGACGAAGGAGGAGAGUAGAGAGACCCGUCUUGUGUUCAGAUGAGAUUAUAUGGUGUGGUGGGUCUACAGUAACCUUUAGCCCAGUGUACAUGUCAGUUCAGAUUUGUUAUUUAUUAUUUGUUAUUGACAUGAAUUUCAUUUACAUAUUUGCAUUUCAGGACUGGCUUGAACUGUAUUGCUGCCAGCUGUAUCUGACAGAAGACAGAAGCCUAGCAGAUGUUUUCAUCCCUGAGGACCAGGAGGAGGAGAGGCAGAUUUGGACUGAGAACCACUCACCAGAACAACAUGGGGUGGCAUUUGGCCUGCUGACUAAAACUAGCAGCCCAAAACCAGUCUUCUCCAGGAAACUCCAUCAACACCGGUAG